GAUGAACGCUGGCGGCGUGCUUAACACAUGCAAGUCGAACGAUGAAGCCCAGCUUGCUGGGUGGAUUAGUGGCGAACGGGUGAGUAACACGUGAGUAACCUGCCCUUAACUCUGGGAUAAGCCUGGGAAACUGGGUCUAAUACCGGAUAGGAGCGCCUACCGCAUGGUGGGUGUUGGAAAGAUUUAUCGGUUUUGGAUGGACUCGCGGCCUAUCAGCUUGUUGGUGAGGUAAUGGCUCACCAAGGCGACGACGGGUAGCCGGCCUGAGAGGGUGACCGGCCACACUGGGACUGAGACACGGCCCAGACUCCUACGGGAGGCAGCAGUGGGGAAUAUUGCACAAUGGGCGAAAGCCUGAUGCAGCGACGCCGCGUGGGGGAUGACGGCCUUCGGGUUGUAAACCUCUUUCAGUAGGGAAGAAGCGAAAGUGACGGUACCUGCAGAAGAAGCACCGGCUAACUACGUG
rnacentral:rRNA from 1 species